GAUGAACGCUGGCGGCGUGCCUAAUACAUGCAAGUCGAGCGAACGGACGCGAAGCUUGCUUCUCUGAUGUUAGCGGCGGACGGGUGAGUAACACGUGGAUAACCUACCUAUAAGACUGGGAUAACUUCUGGAAACCGUAGCUAAUACUGGAUAAUAUUUUGAACCGCAUGGUUCAAAAGUGAAAGACGGUCUUGCUGUCACUUAUAGAUGGAUCCGCGCUGCAUUAGCUAGUUGGUAAGGUAACGGCUUACCAAGGCAACGAUGCUAAACCGACCUGACAGGGUGAUCGGCCACACGAGAACUGAGACACGGUCCAGACUCCUACGGGAAGCCGCAGUAGGGAAUCUUCCGCGAUGGGCGAAAGCCUAACGGAGCAACGCCGCGUGAGUGAUGAACGUCUUCGGAUCGUGAAACUCUGUUAUUAGGGAAGAACAUAUGUGUAAGUAACUGUGCACAUCUUGACGGUACCUAAUCAGAAAGCCACGGCUAACUACGUG
rnacentral:rRNA from 1 species